rnacentral:rRNA from 1 species
GGGGGGCGUUUCCGGAUAUUGGGCGUAAGGGCGCGCAGGCGGUUCCUUAAGUCUGAUGUGAAAGCCCCCGGCUCAACCGGGGAGGGUCAUUGGAAACUGGGGAACUUGAGUGCAGAAGAGGAAAGUGGAAUUCCACGUGUAGCGGUGAAAUGCGUAGAGAUGUGGAGGAACACCAUGUGGCGAAGGCGACUCUCUGGUCUGUAACUGACGCUGAGGAGCGAAAGCGUGGGGAGCGAACAGCGAUUAGAUACCCUGGUAGUCCACGCCGUAAACGAUGAGUGCUAAGUGUUAGGGGGUUUCCGCCCCUUAGUGCUGAAGCUAACUGCAUUAAGCACUCCGCCUGGGGAGUAAAGGGCGGUCGCAAGGCUGAAACUCAAAGGAAUUGACGGGGGCCCGCACAAGCGGUGGAGCAUGUGGUUUAAUUCGAAGCAACGCGAAGAACCUUACCAGGUCUUGACAUCCUCUGACAAUCCUAGAGAUAGGACGUCCCCUUCGGGGACAGAGUGACAGGUGGUGCAUGGUUGUCGUCAGCUCGUGUCGUGAGAUGUUGGGUUAAGUCCCGCAACGAGCGCAACCCUUGAUCUUAGUUGCCAGCAUUCAGUUGGGCACUCUAAGGUGACUGCCGGUGACAAACCGGAGGAAGGUGGGGAUGACGUCAAAUCAUCAUGCCCCUUAUGACCUGGGCUACACACGUGCUACAAUGGAUAGAACAAAGGGCAGCGAAACCGCGAGGUCAAGCCAAUCCCAUAAAUCUGUUCUCAGUUCGGAUCGCAGGCUGCAACUCGACUGCAUGAAGCUGGAAUCGCUAGUAAUCGCGGAUCAGCAUGCCGCGGUGGAAUACGUUUCCCGGGCCUUGUACACACCGCCCCGUCACACCACGAGAGUUUGUAACACCCGAAAUUCGGUGAAGGUAACCUUUUUGGGAGCCAGCCCGCCCAAAGGUGGGAACAAAUGAUUGGGGGUAAAUUCUUACCAAAGGGUAACCAA